rnacentral:rRNA from 1 species
GAUGAACGCUGGCGGCGGGCCUAAUACAUGCAAGUCGAGCGAACAGACGAGGAGCUUGCUCCUCUGACGGUAGCGGCUGGCGGGUGAGUAACACGUGGAUAACCUACCUAUAAGACUGGGAUAACAUCGGGAAACCGGAGAUAAUACUGGAGAAUAUAUUGUACCGGAGGGAUCAAUAGUGAAAGAGGGUUUUGGCGUCACUAAGAGAUGGAUCCGCGCCGCAUUAGCUAGUUGGUAAGGUAACGGCUUACCAAGGCAACGAUGCGUAGCCGAGCUGAGAGGGUGAUCAGCCACACUGGAACUGAGACACGGUCCAGACUCCUACGGGAGGCAGCAGUAGGGAAUCUUCCGCAAUGGGCGCAAGCCUGACCCAGCCACGCCGCGUGAGUGAUGAAGGUCUUCGGAUCGUAAAGCUCUUUUAUUAGGGAAGAACAACUGUGUAAUUAUCCAUGCCCGUUUUGACGGUACCUAAUCAGUAAGCCCCGGCUAACUUCGUG